CGUUUUCAUUUUCUUUGUACUGAAACACAAAAAAUAAAUGGAACAGAAUUAGAUUAACCUUGUUACAUUAAACUAACUUGAAGAUAAAGGGAGUGGCAUGUUUUUCAAGCUUUCCAUACAGUCAUAUGUUGACAAACACUAUAUGUGAUCUUUUGAUAAACAGAUAAACAAACUCUUUUGAUAAACAGACUAUUGUAAUUACAACAUACUCUACAUGUAGGUUAACAUAGCUUUACCAGUUUAAUUAACUGUCAUCUAAAUGCUCAGAAUACGUUUUAAAAGAAUCUUACCCCCAUGUUGUUCCACUUCAGGUAUUGGAAAUGGACUGGUGUUGGUUAGGUGUUGGUUAUUCAUCAGCUUUAUUGGGUGGUCAAAUUGGGUGUGUCAUGUGUGGGUGUUUCUAAGUCUACAGUACACGGAUGCAUAUUCCUUCUUGUCCGCUCGCCUUUCUGUUCAGUUCCCUAUGAAACUUUAUAGAUUAAACUUUAUUUCAUGUGCAUUUGUAAAAUCGCAACACACUUCACAAUGAAAGAUGGCAAACAUUAGGCAUUAAAAUAAGUUAAACAACAACUUCAAUCUCCAGGAUCUCUCCCCUCUCUUCAAACAGGAAUAACAACAUAGUUAAGUGAUGACGCCAAAGAAGACACUGUUGUUCAGAAGAGCUAGCCAACAACACAACUAACACAAUCACUUCAAACUGAAGCUGGAAAGACAGCAAACUAGCUGGAGAUCGAAUUUGAAUGUUGAAAUAAUGUUGCAAAUGUCAGAGACAGACAGCAACGUUUGUACAAAUUCUCCAGUGUUGAAAACUAACUGUGAGACGGCCCACAGUCCGGAGCCGAGAGGGAGACGGCCCACAGUCCGGAGCCGAGAGGGAGACGGCCCACAGUCCGGAGCCGAGAGGGAGACGGCCCACAGUCCGGAGCCGGCGCAGCCAGAGUCGUCCUUCAGCCCGAUGUCUCCAGCGAUGCGCCAUAGCCCAGAGACUUCGGGAGGGGUAAAAUUUAAUAAGUAUUUAGCGGGGGUGGACAGGUUAGGUUGGAGUAAGGCCGGAGCCUGACCCACCUCCGUAGUAGGAGGUUGGGGA